rnacentral:rRNA from 1 species
UCUCAAAGAUUAAGCCAUGCACGUCUAAGUACAAUCUUGUGAAAGAGAAACUGCGAACGGCUCAUUAAAUCAGUCGACAUUUACUGGAUCUUGCACGUUACAUGGAUAACUGUGGCAAUUCUAGAGCUAAUACAUGCAACCAAGCUUCGAUCCCUCGUGGAUCCGAGCGCUCUUAUUAGAUCGAAGCCAACGGGGUUUGUCGCACGCGUCGUUUAUCGGCGCGUCGCGUCUCCCCACGCCUUUGGUGACUCUGGAUGAUGCUAGCAGAUCGCACUGGCCUCGCGCCGGCGACAGAUCCUACAAAUGUCUGCCUUAUCAACUGUCGACGGCACUUUAAGCGACUGCCGUGGUUGUGACGGGUAACGGGGAAUCAGGGUUCGAUUCCGGAGAGGGAGCCUGAGAAACGGGUACCACAUCCAUGGAAGGCAGCAGGCGCGCAAAUUACCCACUGCAAACACUGUGAGGUAGUGAAUGAAAUAGCAAUACGGGACUCGUACGAGGCCCCGUAAUUGGAAUGAGUGCACUUUAAAGCCUUCAACGAAGGCAAUUGGAGGGCAAGUCUGGUGCCAGCAGCCGCGGUAAUUCCAGCUCCAAUAGCGUAUACUAAAAUUGUUGCAGUUAAAAAGCUCGUAGUUGGAUCUCGGGAGUAGCCGGGUGGUCGGCCUCGCGGCUGUUUACUGCUCGCACCGGCUUCCGCAAGGGAGCCUGCUACCCCUGUCUGCCGGUCACCCUCCGCGGUGUAAUUCUGGCCGACGUGCCCUUGACUGGGUGCGCGCGCCGGUCCGGCGAGUUUACUUUGAGAAAAUUGGAGUGCUCAGAGCAGGCGCAACGCCUGAACAAUGAUGCAUGGAAUAAUGGAACAGGCGAACGAGUUCCCGUUCCGUUGGUUUCUGAACACGUUCGAAUGAUUAAAAGGGACUGACGGGGGCAUACGUAUUGCGGGGCGAGAGGUGAAAUUCUUGGACCCUCGCAAGACGACCGACAGCGAAAGCAUUUGCCAAGGAUGUUUUCAUUAAUCAAGAACGAAAGUCAGAGGUUCGAAGACGAUCAGAUACCGUCCUAGUUCUGACCCUAAACGAUGUCGUCCAUCGGCUCGCUGUCGUUACUACUAUGACGCGGCGAGAAGACCCCGGAAAACCUUUGAGAUUUUGGAUUCCGGGGGAAGUAUGGUAUGCAAAUCUGAAACUUAAAGGAAUUGACGGAAGGGCACCACCAGGAGUGGAGCCUGCGGCUUAAUUUGACUCAACACGGGAAAACUCACCCGGUCCGGACAGCGUAAGGAUUGACAGAUUGAGAGCUCUUUCUUGAUUCGGUGGGUGGUGGUGCAUGGCCGUUCUUAGUUGGUGGAUGUGAUUUGUCUGGUUAAUUCCGAUAACGAACGAGACUCUGCCUUGCUAACUAGACGCCGCAUGAGAUUCGUCAUAUGCGGACCUACGUCUUCUUAGAGGGACAAGUGGCAUAUAGCUACACGAGAUUGAGCAAUAACAGGUCUGUGAUGCCCUUAGAUGUCCGGGGCCGCACGCGCGCUACACUGAAGGAAGCAACGUGCGUGCUUGCCUGGCCAGAGAUGGCCGGGAAAUCAUUGGAAAUUCCUUCGUGCUUGGGACUGGGCCUUGUAACUGUCGCCCACGAACGAGGAAUUCCUCGUAGGCGCGGGUCAUCAGCCCGCACCGAUUACGUCCCUGCCCUUUGUACACACCGCCCGUCGCUACUACCGAUUGGAUGGUUUAGUGAGCUCCUUGGAUCGGCCCCGUCCGCCCGCCUCGCGCGGUGCGCCCGGAGGUUCGAGAAGACGAACGAACUUGGCCAUCUAGAGGAAGUAAAAGUCGUAACA